CCCUGUGCGGGACGCCCGGGCCCCCCGGCUACAGCCAUCUGCCGCCGCGGCGCUCGCGGGCGGGAGGGUAACGCGGGGACUGCGGCGGGGCAGCUCGUGCGAGGGCAGCGGGGCGGGGCUCGGCCCGGCCCUAGAGUUCAUCCGAGCCGCUUGCUCUACAGAAGCUGUGCUGGAGCCUGUGGAUGGAAUACUCAGCCAAAAUGGAAUUUAGUGUACAGUUUUUCAUUCAGUUGCCAUUUCAGGUCUCAGCUGAGACCCUCAUUGCUGCCAUUCAAGUCAACUUCUGGGACUAAUGUGAUGGCCACUUCUAACCAAAGAGCUGUUAGUCAAAAGGUAUGAGAGACAUAUCACUUAAAAAAUUACUCUGCUAAUAUUUAGCAAAAAAUAAAAGAGUACUUUUCUUGGUGCCAGUGGUGACAAGAACAAGCAACCGCUUCUUGCAUUCACACACAAUCCCUUUCUAAAACUUUUCCAACAUUUCUGCUUCAAAGUUUGGUUACUUUGUUUUAAAUACAUUUUAGCACAUAUCUGCAAAUGUUUAAAAUAUUCCAGAAAUUAAUGACCCCUGUCUCCUUGACCACUGACUUUCAAAUAGCUUCAGAACAAUAGCAGUCUGUGCUUGCAUAUGCUGUCCAGCCUAAGGGCUGUCAAUUGUGUUUGUUGUGAGAGUCACGUUGCUUUAGGAAUUUUUAUGCCAGUAUAUAGUAAAUGGUAAAAUAUAACAAAGGUCACUUACGAAUAUAAAUACACAUUAUUCACACACAUGCAUUCUGGUCCUCUCUGCUGAAAACCCUUGAAACCAAAAGAUUUUUGUAAGGCAGUUUUCUUCAAAGAGCACUAAUACUGCAUACCAAGUUGCAUAUGUAGGGCCAUUUAUAGCAUUUCAUCUACAUGCACAACUGCUGUUGACAGUCAUGGGAAAUGUGCAAGUCAGGCUAGGACAGUAUAUGGCCUUAAGAGUUAAUGUGUUAACUCUUAACACAACCACAAAUUUGUUAAACAUGACAACAUCCCUUCAUAAAGCUGGCAGAAAUAUCAGUGUCCAGCAUUUGCUCUUUUCCCUCCUUGUAUAAGAAAGUAUAAUGUGAGACAGAGCAUCUGAAGAUAAAACAAGUUAAUUAAGAGAUUGCCCUCUAACAAAUACAUGGUUUGAGCCUGUUCCAAUUUAAGCCAAUGUGAGUUUUGCUAUUGACUUCAGUGGGAUCAGGCCCAUAGUGAUGAACGUGACAUCAUUCAUUGACAGUGAGUUAUUUCAUUAGCAAUCAGCUACAUAAGCCUACAGCGCUACAGGCUGCUGAACAGUGUUGCAAGCUGAAGCAAUGAUGUUAACUUCCCUGUUUGCUUAAUAUCUGUUCAAAGAGGCUCCCACGUAGUGUGAAAAAAUGUCCGUUGGGCUCAGCACUGUGGAAACCUGAGCCCACAUGAUGAUGGAGAUGAGAGAAAAGGUAUGCCCUGGCUUAGAUGUUUAAAUGGUGUGAAUACUAAUGUUCCCACUUACCAUAUAAAGGAUUUUCAUUUCCUUCUAACAGCAACCAGUUGCAGCCACAUUCUCGAGGGCACGUAACUGCAGUAUUUAACAAAAACAGAGAGCAGGGGUAGCCAUGAAGAUCAGCUACUGCCAAAAAAACAUGUCUGAGGGUUCUAAGAAAAUAGAGUUCUCUAUCCACUGUGAUAUACACUUUGGCAGGAGUGAGUACCAAUUAAUAGGAUGAAAUUCUGCCCCCACUGAUGGCAAAGCUCCUAUUGAUUUAAUCAAAGUCAGGAUUUCACCCAUGUACUUCAGUGAUAGCUUCUUUUUUAUACAUAUACCUUUUCCUUAAGAUAGCUGAAGUGUAUGGCUUCAUAUAUUAUAACAACAGUGUCAAACUACUGACUAUAAAAUUAAAAGUAUGGAUAUUUUAUACUUUUUGUGUAGAAAAAAGUUCAAAUAAAAAGUCUGCUGCAUCUACUUUGGCCGA